GAUGAAGAACGCAGUGAAAUGCGAUAAGUAAUGUGAAUUGCAGAAUUCAGUGAAUCAUCGAAUCUUUGAACGCACAUUGCGCCCCCUGGUAUUCCGGGGGGCAUGCCUGUCCGAGCGUCAUUACAACCCUCAAGCUCAGCUUGGUAUUGGGCCCCGCCGCUCCGGCGGGCCCUAAAGUCAGUGGCGGUGCCGUCCGGCUCCGAGCGUAGUAAUUCUUCUCGCUCUGGAGGUCCGGUCGUGUGCUCGCCAGCAACCCCCAAUUUUUUUCAGGUUGACCUCGGAUCAGGUAGGGAUACCCGCUGAACUUAAGCAUAUCAAUAAGCGGAGGA
rnacentral:misc_RNA from 1 species